GCACCUUCGGGUGAGUGGCAGACGGGUGAGUAACGCGUGGGAACGUGCCUCAAGGUACGGAAUAGCACCGGGAAACUGGUGGUAAUACCGUAUAUCUCCUUCGGGAGAAAGAUUUAUCGCCUUGGGAUCGGCCCGCGUUGGAUUAGCUAGUUGGUGGGGUAAAGGCCUACCAAGGCGACGAUCCAUAGCUGGUCUGAGAGGAUGAUCAGCCACACUGGGACUGAGACACGGCCCAGACUCCUACGGGAGGCAGCAGUGGGGAAUAUUGGACAAUGGGCGCAAGCCUGAUCCAGCCAUGCCGCGUGAGUGAAGAAGGCCUUCGGGUUGUAAAGCUCUUUCACUGGCGAAGAUGAUGACGGUAGCCAGAGAAGAAGCCCCGGCUAACUUCGUGCCAGCAGCCGCGGUAAUACGAAGGGGGCAAGCGUUGUCCGGAAUUACUGGGCGUAAAGGGCGUGUAGGCGGAAUGCCAAGUUAGAUGUGAAAGCCCCGGGCUCAACCUG
rnacentral:rRNA from 1 species